GCACAGGUCAACCAAUAGGUUACUCUAAUGGCCUGGAAGCUCUCGUGAAGCUCUCCAUUCAUGUGCUGUAAGCGCAGUCUCUUUCAACUUUGCACUUCAGCAAGCAGCAAGUCCAUCAUGAAUCACCUACUGGCCCAAUCGUCCACUUUGA
rnacentral:lncRNA from 1 species